GGUUCCAUAGUGUAGUGGUUAGCAUGUCUACUUUACAACUUUACAUGCAGAAGGUCGUGGGUUCAUGCCCCAUUGGAGCCA
rnacentral:tRNA from 1 species